rnacentral:rRNA from 1 species
UACAGGGGGUGCAAACGUUGCUCGGAAUCAUUGGGCGUAAAGCGCACGUAGGCGGUUCGUUAUGUUAGAUGUGAAAUCCCCGGGCUUAACCUGGGAAUGGCAUUUAAUACUGUAUGACUAGAGUAGAGUAGAGGGAAGUGGAAUUUCCGGUGUAGCGGUGAAAUGCGUAGAUAUCGGAAAGAACACCAGUGGCGAAGGCGGCUUCCUGGACUCAUACUGACGUUGAGGCGCGAAAGCGUGGGUAGCAAACAGG